rnacentral:pre_miRNA from 1 species
CAAAUCGUUGAUGUGGCAUACUUCACCUCAUCAUAUUGUGUGGGGUUGAAAACUACAUUGAAACAAUUUGUUAAUCAAUAUAUUGAGGUGGAAUAUGCCACAUCAGCAGUUUA